UUAUAAAUUAAAAAUUAAGUUAAAAAGGGAUGUUGUAUAUGUUUACUUUAAAAUAUUAUGAUAAAAAAAAUACUUU
rnacentral:tRNA from 1 species